AUCCCGGAUAAAAUUCAUUAUGUCUAUCCGAUUCAUGGGAGGCAAAAAAUGAUGGGGAAAGUUUAGCUGGUGGCACCUUUUGCAGUUUUGGGGGAAGGUGCCCUGUUAAUAACUAACCGUACAUUG